GGGGACCCGCAAGCGGUGGAUGAUGUGGAUUAAUUCGAUGCAACGCGAAAAACCUUACCUACCCUUGACAUGUACGGAAGCCACGAGAGAUCGAGGUGUGCUCGAAAGAGAGCCGUAACACAGGUGCUGCAUGGCUGUCGUCAGCUCGUGUCGUGAGAUGUUGGGUUAAGUCCCGCAACGAGCGCAACCCUUGUCAUUAGUUGCUACAUUCAGUUGAGCACUCUAAUGAGACUGCCGGUGACAAACCGGAGGAAGGUGGGGAUGACGUCAAGUCCUCAUGGCCCUUAUGGGUAGGGCUUCACACGUCAUACAAUGGUACAUACAGAGGGCCGCCAACCCGCGAGGGGGAGCUAAUCCCAGAAAGUGUAUCGUAGUCCGGAUCGCAGUCUGCAACUCGACUGCGUGAAGUUGGAAUCGCUAGUAAUCGCGGAUCAGCAUGUCGCGGUGAAUACGUUCCCGGGUCUUGUACACACC
rnacentral:rRNA from 1 species